AACGAACGCUGGCGGCAUGCCUAACACAUGCAAGUCGAACGAAGGCUUCGGCCUUAGUGGCGCACGGGUGAGUAACGCGUGGGAAACUGCCUAUUGGUGGGGAAUAACGACGGGAAACUGUCGCUAAUACCGCAUAAGCCCUUCGGGGGAAAGAUUUAUCGCCGAUAGAUGUGCCCGCGUCCGAUUAGCUAGUUGGUGAGGUAAUGGCUCACCAAGGCGACGAUCGGUAGCUGGCCUGAGAGGAUGAUCAGCCACACUGGGACUGAGACACGGCCCAGACUCCUACGGGAGGCAGAAGUGGGGAAUAUUGGACAAUGGGCGAAAGCCUGAUCCAGCAAUGCCGCGUGAGUGAUGAAGGCCUUAGGGUUGUAAAGCUCUUUCGGGUGGGACGAUGAUGACGGUACCACCAGAAGAAGCCCCGGCUAACUUCGUGCCAGCCGCCGCAGUAA
rnacentral:rRNA from 1 species